rnacentral:lncRNA from 1 species
GGGCAGCUCUCUCUCUCUGUUCUGGCCUGUAGUGGUGGAGAGACAGGCAGCUCUCUCCCUCUGUUCUGACCUGUAGUGAUGGAGAGACGGGCAGCUCUCUCUCUCUGUUCUGGCCUGUAGUGGUGGAGAGACAGGCAGCUCUCUCCCUCUGUUCUGGCCUGUAGUGAUGGAGAGACGGGCAGCUCUCUCUCUCUGUUCUGGCCUGUAGUGAUGGAGAGACGGGCAGCUCUCUCCCUCUGUUCUGACCUGUAGUGAUGGAGAGACGGGCAGCUCUCUCCCCCUGUAGUGAUGGAGAGACAGGCAGCUCUCUCCCUCUGUUCUGACCUGUAGUGAUGGAGAGACGGGCAGCUCUCUCCCCCUGUAGUGAUGGAGAGACGGGCAGCUCUCUCCCUCUGUUCUGGCCUGUAGUGAUGGAGAGACGGGCAGCUCUCUCCCCCUGUAGUGGUGGAGAGACAGGCAGCUCUCUCCCUCUGUUCUGGCCUGUAGUGAUGGAGAGACGGGCAGCUCUCUCUCUCUGUUCUGGCCUGUAGUGGUGGAGAGACGGGCAGCUCUCUCCCUCUGUUCUGGCCUGUAGUGGUGGAGAGACGGGCAGCUCUCUCCCUCUGUUCUGGCCUGUAGUGGUGGAGAGACGGGCAGCUCUCUCCCUCUGUUCUGGCCUGUAGUGAUGGAGAGACGGGCAGCUCUCUCUCUCUGUUCUGGCCUGUAGUGGUGGAGAGACGGGCAGCUCUCUCCCUCUGUUCUGGCCUGUAGUGAUGGAGAGACGGGCAGCUCUCUCCCUCUGUUCUGGCCUGUAGUGGUGGAGAGACGGGCAGCUCUCCUGUAAUAUUUAUUCUAGGACUUCUAGUUGUGGAGUGCUGUGUUACUGGGAGUUGGCACAUGCCCCUGUUCAUUUUUUGGUGAAUGAGCGCAAUUGCAAAAUGGAGUCUCUCCUGCAGGCCCACUUCCUCUCACCUCCCUCUCCUUUCCAACUAUCUCUGUGUGUCUGUGUUUGGCUGCAUGGUGUAAACAUUAGCCCCUCACAAUGUCCUUCCUAGUGGAUCAAGUCAGAUGCACAUUUGCUUUGGGACACUGUUCCCAUCUCCGCUCUCUCACUGUGGUUUCUGUUUAUAGUGUACAGAGGAAUUAUUUUUUCAAAGGUUGUUGGAUGCUAUCGGAAAAUGUCCUACGCUUUCUGUCUGUUAGCCUUCUCCCCCCCCUUCCAUUGUUGAUAUAAUAUGAUAAACUGUGGACUCCACCCCUUCAGUAGCCUCGGUUUUUAUUCCCCCUCCACCAGUAGCCUGUAUCCCCACUCUUGAAGCCCAUGAUGCUUUUUUACUCACCUUGUCGCACACGUUCCCAAGCCGCCUCGACCACCCUCAAGGAAAACAAGUCACAUUUCAACCUUGUCAUUUUAACCCUCACUCAUUUGUUGCUCUUGUUUUGGUUCCAUGAGAUACUGCUUGUGAAUGCUUUGUUUUGUUAUUACUACCUGCCGGGAUAGACAAAGGCUGAGGGCUGAGCAGCUGUCCACAGAGGAGUGAUAGAGAGGUAGAACUCAGCAGAUUCUCCCACUGCGUCCACUCUUCUCCUGGUCAUGAUCCCAUUAAUCCUGCCGCCGCCGCACAGCGCCCACUCAACCGCUUGUCUGUAAAUCUGAUUCGCUGUGAUGCUUUCCUUGCCCUUCAUGGAUCUGGCGUGCUUGGGACUGCAACACAGGAAAUCUGAACUAAUAAAUACAUUUUUUUGUGUGUGUGUGUUUUAUACAUAAAUGUGAUUUAGCGAAGCCGAGGGGAAUUAGACGUUUGUUGUGGCAGCGGCGGUGAAACAGACCUCAAAGCCACUAAAGUGGCGUUUUAUUCACCAAGAGAUCAGGCGAAUGCUACCAUGAACAAUGAAAUAGGCCGUGCUCAGAGCACUGCUCCCUGUGAGAGUCCAUUCAUUCCAGUAAUACUGUAAUAGUUAUCCUAAUUACACACGCUCCAUUUCAACACCCUGCUAAACACUAAUAUAAGAAGCCUGUAGGAUCCAUAACGAUCCAGUCACUAGGAAAGGGGAUCUCCAUUCAAGUCAAUGUUCAAUGACGGCUGGAACGCCAUUCUAUUGCUUCUAUUUCUAUGGUAGGCUCAUCAAGGUUGACUUGGUUCUGUCCUGUAGUGAUGUCAGUUCAUAUGUUACUGGUGUAUGAAUGUUGUUGACAGGUGACCUGGUUGAUAGGCCCUACUCUCACCACAAUACUGUUGAUGCUCAGCCGUGAUUGGGUGCUGGCACAGAUUACAUGUUUUUUCCCCCCCGUCCUUUUCUCUGAAGUAGAGGGUUUUGGUUUUGUUUGGAAAUAUGUCUUGUUAUACAAUGGGAGAAGAGCCAGUGUUGUCUCACUGUGCUUGAGUCAUUCCUUGUGUUACUCACACCGCGGGAGGACGGAAUGUUCUUGUAGGAUUUCCUUUUCCUGUUUCUUUAUUCAUAACCCCGCCCCCUAAACCCACAUCCCCAGAGUAGCAGCUCAGUAUCAGUCAUCGGUACUUGAAAGAAAGAUGUUUACAGCUUUUUUUUAUUGCUAUGUGUUGUUUUGGUUCAUCCCUCUUUGCCCCGUCCCCCCUUCCCCCCAGGGUUUCUCUCUUAUGUAAAGUGUACAUUGCCACAUUUCUUUUUUUAUACAAUACUGUAACUUGCCUUUGUACAUUUAGGCAAAAAAUAAAUCUUUUUAUGAGACAAUCA